CCUACGGGUGGCAGCAGUGGGGAAUAUUGGACAAUGGGCGAAAGCCUGAUCCAGCCAUGCCGCGUGUGUGAAGAAGACCUUCGGGUUGUAAAGCACUUUCAGUGGGGAAGAAAGCCUUGGGGCUAAUACCCUCGAGGAAGGACAUCACCCACAGAAGAAGCACCGGCUAACUCCGUGCCAGCAGCCGCGGUAAUACGGAGGGUGCGAGCGUUAAUCGGAAUUACUGGGCGUAAAGCGCGCGUAGGCGGUCUGAUAAGCCGGUUGUGAAAGCCCCGGGCUCAACCUGGGAACGGCAUCCGGAACUGUCAGGCUAGAGUGCAGGAGAGGAAGGUAGAAUUCCCGGUGUAGCGGUGAAAUGCGUAGAGAUCGGGAGGAAUACCAGUGGCGAAGGCGGCCUUCUGGACUGACACUGACGCUGAGGUGCGAAAGCGUGGGUAGCAAACAGGAUUAGAUACCCUGUAGUC
rnacentral:rRNA from 1 species